ACUCCUACGGGAGGCAGCAGUAAGGAAUAUUGGGCAAUGGACGCAAGUCUGACCCAGCCAUGCCGCGUGAAGGAUGAAUGUCCUAUGGAUUGUAAACUUCUUUUAUGCAGGAAAAACAUCUCGGCCGUGAACCGGGACUGAUGGUACUGUAUGAAUAAGCAUCGGCUAACUCCGUGCCAGCAGCCGCGGUAAU
rnacentral:rRNA from 1 species